CCCAGACUCCUACGGGAGGCAGCAGUGGGGGAUAUUGCACAAUGGGGGAAACCCUGAUGCAGCGACGCCGCGUGGGUGAAGAAGCGCCUCGGCGCGUAAAGCCCUGUCAGCAGGGAAGAAAAUGACGGUACCUGAAGAAGAAGCCCCGGCUAACUACGUGCCAGCAGCCGCGGUAAUACGUAGGGGGCAAGCGUUAUCCGGAUUUACUGGGUGUAAAGGGAGCGUAGACGGCAGUGCAAGUCCGGAGUGAAAGCCCGGGGCUCAACCCUGGGACUGCUCUGGAAACUGUAAAGCUGGAGUGCGGGAGGGGCGGGCGGAAUUCCUGGUGUAGCGGUGAAAUGCGUAGAUAUCAGGAGGAACACCGGCGGCGAAGGCGGCCUGCUGGACCGUAACUGACGUUGAGGCUCGAAAGCGUGGGGAGCAAACAGGAUUAGAUACCCGAGUA
rnacentral:rRNA from 1 species